GCCUUCGUGGUGUAGUGGUCAGCACGCUCGGUGGGUAACCGAGAAGGCCGUGGUUCGAUUCCCGACGAAGGCG
rnacentral:tRNA from 1 species